rnacentral:rRNA from 1 species
UGAUACCAGCAUACAACACUGAAUAAAUCAAUCUCAGCAGAUUUCAAAAGCUAAGCAGAUAUGGGCCAGGUCAGUACUUGGGUAAGAGACUACCAAGAAACACCAGAUGCUGUAUUGG